GAUGAACGCUGGCGGCGUGCCUAACACAUGCAAGUCGAACGGAGUCCAGCCUUUAAGACCUUCGGGUCAAAGAGGGGAAGACUGAGUGGCGGACGGGUGAGUAACACGUGGGCAACCUGGCUCAUAGAGGGGGAUAACAGAGAGAAAUUUCUGCUAAUACCGCAUAAGCACACACUGCCGCAUGGCAGAGGGUGAAAAGAGAAUCGCUAUGAGAUGGACCCGCGUCUGAUUAGCCAGUUGGCAGGGUAAGAGCCUACCAAAGCGACGAUCAGUAGCCGAUCUGAGAGGAUGAACGGCCACAUUGGGACUGAGACACGGCCCAAACUCCUACGGGAGGCAGCAAUGGGGGAUAUUGCACAAUGGGGGGAACCCUGAUGCAGCGACGCCGCGUGAGUGAAGAAGUAUUUCGGUAUGUAAAGCUCUAUCAGCAGGGAAGAUAAUGACAGUACCUGAAUAAGAAGCCCCGGCUAACUACGUG
rnacentral:rRNA from 1 species